AACGAACGCUGGCGGCAUGCCUAACACAUGCAAGUCGAACGAGACCUUCGGGUCUAGUGGCGCACGGGUGCGUAACACGUGGGAAUCUGCCCUUUGCUUCGGAAUAACAGUUAGAAAUGACUGCUAAUACCGGAUGAUGUCGCCUAGAGAGAUCUUGGGGACCAAAGAUUUAUCGGCCAGGGAUGAGCCCGCGUAGGAUUAGGUAGUUGGUGGGGUAAAGGCCUACCAAGCCGACGAUCCUUAGCUGGUCUGAGAGGAUGAUCAGCCACACUGGGACUGAGACACGGCCCAGACUCCUACGGGAGGCAGCAGUGGGGAAUAUUGGACAAUGGGGGAAACCCUGAUCCAGCAAUGCCGCGUGAGUGAUGAAGGCCUUAGGGUUGUAAAGCUCUUUUACCCGGGAUGAUAAUGACAGUACCGGGAGAAUAAGCUCCGGCUAACUCCGUGCCAGCAGCCGCCGUAACAC
rnacentral:rRNA from 1 species